rnacentral:rRNA from 1 species
AGUGAACGCUGGCGGCAGGCCUAAUACAUGCAAGUCGAACGGCAGCUCAGCAGAGCUUGCUCUGUGGUGGCGAGUGGCGGACGGGUGAGGAAUACGUGGGAAUCUGCCCAGUCGUGGGGGAUAACGUAGGGAAACUUACGCUAAUACCGCAUGCGCCCUUCGGGGGAAAGCCGGGGACCUUUCGGGCCUGGCGCGAUUGGAUGAGCCCACGUCGGAUUAGCUAGUUGCGGGUAAAGGCCCACCAAGGCGACGAUCCGUAGCUGGUCUGAGAGGAUGAUCAGCCACACUGGAACUGAGACACGGUCCAGACUCCUACGGGAGGCAGCAGUAGGGAAUAUUGGACAAUGGGCGCAAGCCUGAUCCAGCCAUGCCGCGUGAGUGAAGAAGGCCCU